rnacentral:lncRNA from 1 species
AUUCUAUCUCAAAAAAAUAAUAAUCAUCAUCAUAGAUUUAUUAUCUUAUAGUUCUGGAGGUCUAUAAAAAAGUGGGUAUCACUGGGCUAAAAUCAAGGUGUCAGCAGGAUUGUGUUCCUUCUGGAAGCUCUAGGGGAGAAUCUGUUUGCCUGCCUAUUUCAGCAUCUAGAGGCCACUUGCAUUUCUUAGUUAAUGACUGCUUCCUCCACCUCUGAAGGCAGCCAUCGCUUCACUCAGUCCUCUGUUUCAGCUGUCAUCACAUCUCCUCUAGCUCUUUUGCCUCCCUUUUCUGUCAUUUAAGAAUACUCAUGAUUACAUUGAUCCCACUCCGAGAAUCCAGGAUCAUCUCCCCGUCUCAAAAUCCUUAAUUUAAUUACUCCUGCCAAACCCUUUUUAGAUAUAGGUUCUAGGGAUUCAGAUAUGGACACUUUAUUCCUCUUUCAAUUCCUACUGCUUCCACCCCUGGAAAGCCCAGCCCCGUUCAUCUUCUACUUGGAGAUCUGUCUUCAACCCUUCCAUUAUCUUCAGUGAUGUCUAGCUUUGAUCUCUCUCUCUCUCUCUCUUUUUUUUUUUUUUUUUUUUUUUUUUGAGACAGGGUCUCUCUCUGUCACCCAGGCUGGAGCGCAGUGGUGGCGAGAUCUCAGCUCACUGCAAACUCCAUUUCCCAGGUUCAAGCAAUUCUACUGCCUCAGCCUCCCAAGUAUCUGGGACCAUCGCACCUGGCUAAUUUUUGUAUUUUUAGCAGAAACGGGGUUUCACUGUGUUGGCCAGGCUGGUCUUGAACACCUGACCUCAAGUGAUCCAUUCGCCUUAGCCUCCCAAAGUGCUAGGAUUACAGGUGUGGGCCACCAUGCCUGGCCUGGCCUUGAUCUCUUGAUUCGUUGAUCUCUUUUGUGUUUUUCUUAAUCUCUAACCCGUCUAGGUCGCUAUUUUUUGGUGGCAACCCCAGGCCUUGUUCUCACUCAUGCUUCCUCCAGCUCUUUGAGACAUCCCGCUCAGGCUACGCUCUCCUCUUUCCCUGGUGUUUUUCUCACUAAAGGUGCUCUUUGACCCCAUUAAGACCUGUAGUUCCUCAAAUCCCUGUCUACAAACAAGCUCCUCUCUGGUUCAUCACUUCAGUGACAUUUUUUUAUCCACAGUGCCACUUCCUUCACCUCCCUUAGCCUCCUUUCUCUCCUUCCUCUACUGACCCAGUCCCUGGAAGAAUUGUUUGGGCUUCAGAGUUGUGUGAGGGAGAAUCUUGUCAUGGCACUUCCUGGGACCCCUACAAGCUUGAUUCAUCAAACCUGUUCAACAGUGCUUUCUCUGUCUCUGGUGAGUUCCCUCUUGCAGCACCGUAUUGGGAAUUCCAAACACUGCAUAUAACCUCCACAUCCCUCACUCAUAGCACAUAAUGUUUUCUCAGACUCCAAAGAGAAAGACCACAUGAGUCAGAAGUCUUCUGCCAUUUCUAAAUCUACCUAAAAUACAUCUCUUGUUGCUGCCUUCCUGUUAGCUUAGAGGUAGAGGGGUCUUUCCUUCUUUGUAAGGCCAACCCCUGCUCCUGCGUGCUGAAUCUCCUCUCCAUCAAUUCCUCCUCUUUCAAAUGUCAGAAGUCUUUAUCCAUUUCUCUCAUUCAGAAACACAAUGAAGUUUUCCUAGUCUCAACAUAAUCCUUCCCUUUGCCUUCACCUAUCACACAAGCUACUGACCCUAUCCCUCUCUUUGUAGAUGGGACAGGGAUAAACUGCAGGACACGACCAAAGCAGAAAUAGCUUACUCCUAAAGAAUAAAAUGAGAAAAAAUAAAACUUUUCAUGUGUUAGGGGUGGACUCAGCCACCUAUAGAGUAAAGCAAAACUAGGAAUAAACGCAGAUUUGGAGCCCUAAGUCUUAUACAAUAAGGUGGUGGUAGGGUCACUCUUUUUUUUUAAUUUUUUUUAUUUUUUAUUUAUUUAUUAUUUUUUUGGGGGGGGACUACAGGUGCAAGCGUCACCAUGCCUGGCUAAUUUUUGUAUUUUUAGUAGAGACAGAAUUUCACCAUGUUGCCCAGGCUGGUCUCAAAUUCCUGGGCUCAGGUGAUCCACCACCUUGGCCUCCCAAAGUGCUGAGAUUACAGGCAUGAGCCACCGUGCCUGGCCAGGUCACUCCUUUAAAAAAGGAUAUAAAAUUGGGUACAAACAUAACUAAGGUCUUGGAAGGUAUGAGUAAAGGGUGCUGAAUCUUGAAGUUUAUUUGUUUCAUAGUAAAUCUGCCCCUGCCUAGAUAAAGGUACUGUAUGAAGACAGUCUAGUGGUGGAGGAUGUCUCUGAGAAAGAGUAUAUCUAAUCAUUGCAUCAUGAUGUUUGAGAAAAGUACUUCCCAGAAAAUAGUAGGCAUCUCACUGCUAGUAUUCAAGAAGAUUUGGGGAAUAUCAG